GUAGAGAGUUUGACUCCUGCCUGUUGUUAGAUCUACCCAGAUCCUCACUGGCAGAGGGAUUUCUUUUCUCCAGUCCUCAUGUUUCCAUGAGAUAAAUUCCACUAGAAAAAUACAUCUGGCUUCCCUCUCCACCCCUUUCUCUCUCCUCCUCACCAUUUGAUUGAUAAGGUGGAAAGAGUCUGAUAACCAUUACCCAAAGACGUUUUAACAGACAGGAUUAAAGUGUUAACAGUUACUACUUCCACGUGGUCUCCCUCUCUCUUGAACUUCCUGCCCAUCGAGGAGAGAUGAUCCCUCAUAUUCUUGCAUCCUAGAGUGUGUGAAAUGCUUCCUUUUCCAUCUCUCCUUCAAGACCAGAGACCUCACCCAAUUUAUCUUUGUAAUUCCAGCAUUGACCACAGUGGUGCUUACACAUGUAGGUGCACAGUAAACAUUUAAUGAAUAAAAGAACAUCUGGAUUGGAUCGCAAUGUCUUUCAACACUCUACUGAUGCUCUCGGGAGAACAGGAAUAUUUUUGUGGUGAAUUUGCCUAUACCGUGCCCUUCACAGACUCAUCUAAAGGGCAAUUUGCUCUGUCUGGAAAAUAGUCAAGAACCAAGAAGUACCGACAGAGGGUCAGAUGGUCCCUCCAGUGGAGGGAGCCACACGAAGGUGGAAAACUACAUAGCGCCUGACAGAGACCACAUCUGCAAUCCCUCAACCCACACCACGGACGUAGGAGGAAUGAAUGACCCCGGAGGCUGCAUCUCCUGGUAUGUGUUUAACAUCCUCCUUCCCAGGCUGACUCUCCUUCAGAAAUGACCUCUGGAGAAAUAUUGCCCUUCAGCUCCUCAGGAAAGCAAUCUCAGCUACAUUUUCAUUCUCUCCUAACAAGAUGUUAUAAUAAAAGCUCAAAGGAAGUGGGACAAAAACUGACUAUUUUCAAGGCAUCUAGUGAGUGCCAUGACUUACUCAAAGCACGUUACACAGGUUAUUUUAUUUCACAUAACUCUGUGAGUAGUAUAAUUAUGCUCAUCGAGCUCAUGGGGAAACUGAGGCACUGUCAGGUUAGGUCACUUGCCCAGCUGGUGAGUGGCAGAAGCAGUGUUUGAAUCCCAGGCCUCCUGAACACUGCAUACUGUCUGUUUCCACAAUACCACUUGGCACCCUCUAAAACUAUUCCCAUGACCAUUGUUUCUGGGAUGUUGCCAAAUGCAAUGACCUCAACACCAUCAGGCAGAAGAGCCCAGCCCAGGAGGUAAUGAGAGAGAAAAUGCCAAAGACACAUGGAGGGCAAUGGGCAGGUAGUCAAUGGGAUUCUUAAGUGAAUUCACAGGCAAUCACAAAAGCCUGCUGGGUACAAAGAUAACUUGGGAACAUCUUGGGGACCAGAUGGCUGGAGUGGAUCCCCCAAGGACAGCCAUGAUCUCAGACUCAGUAAUUACUAUGUUCCCAAAGGAGAUCCAGAGGACAGUCAUAAAAGGACC
rnacentral:lncRNA from 1 species